rnacentral:misc_RNA from 1 species
UCUCUCUCUCUCUCUCUCUAUACCCUUUACUAGGCUCUUCAAGUCAAACGCUCCAAGCAAAUGACAACAAACUAGUCUGAUUCCCCGAUUUCUUUUUCCGUUGGUUAGGUAGUGAUCUUAGAAUCGGAUGAUAUAUCCGAUCGUCGGUGGAGAUCGGCGAUGCUCGUCGGUUCCCGUGCCGGUGGGGGAGGAUGGCGGUGGUGAUGGUGGAGUAGCUGGGGAGUCCUUUUGUGAGUCGGUGGUAGUUGAGAGGAGUUCAGGAGGUGGAGGAUGAAGAAAGGAAAGAGUAAAAACACUGGCUUGUUACCGAAUUCCUUGAGGAUUAUCUCUUCUUGCCUCAAAACUGUUUCUACUAAUGCUAGCACCGUUGCUUCCACGGUUAGGUCUGCUGGCGCGUCGGUUGCUGCGUCUAUUUCAACUGCUACUGAGGAUCACAAAGAUCAGGUCACCUGGGCAAGCUUUGACUGGUUGGAGCUAGGUCCAUCUGUCUUCAAGCAUGUUCUCUUACUUGGUUAUCAGAAUGGCUUUCAAGUCCUUGAUGUGGAGGAUGCUUCUAAUUUUAGUGAACUGGUUUCGAAGCGUGAUGGUCCAGUUUCAUAUUUACAGAUGCAGCCUUUCCCUACAAAGUCUGAUGGCCAAGAAGGAUUCAGAUCAUCGCAUCCUUUACUAUUGGUUGUUGCAGGGGAUGAUUUUAACAGUUUAAAUGUGGGUCAAAAUCAUAGUCUUCUAGGUGGGCUAGGAAGAGAGAAUAACAGCGAGUCUCUGUCAGGAAACUAUAUUAAUUCUCCAACUACUGUUCAGUUUUACUCCUUUCGGUCUCACUGUUAUGUGCAUGUUCUGAGAUUUCGCUCGGCUGUGCAUAUGGUUCGAUGCAGCCCUCGGAUUGUAGCUGUGGGCCUUGCAACUCAAAUAUAUUGUGUUGAUGCUCUCACUCUUGAGAGUAAAUUCAGUGUUCUUACCUAUCCUGUUCCCCAGUUAGCUGGACAAGGAACAGUAGGAGUCAAUCUAGGUUAUGGUCCGAUGGCUGUGGGUCCUCGGUGGUUAGCUUAUGCUUCGAACAAUCCACUGGUGUCAAAUUCAACUCGCUUAAGUCCAAAAAAUCUUACUCCAUCUCCAGGUGUCAGUCCAUCAACGUCACCAGGUGGUACUAGUCUGGUUGCUCGUUAUGCAAUGGAAUCUAGUAAACAGCUGGCUGCUGGAAUAAUUAACCUUGGUGACAUGGGAUACAAAACAUUGUCUAAAUACUAUCAAGAGCUCCUCCCUGAUGGGUCUAAUUCUCCAGUUUCAUCCAAUUCUGGCUGGAAAGUUGGUAGACUUGCAGGAUCGGACAUGUAUAAUGCAGGGAUGGUAAGCUUUCUAUUGAAUCCAGAACACAAGCAUGUCUUCACUUCUGGUACCAUUAAAAUCUAAUCAUUGUUCCAUGACUGGAACAUGUGAGAACGGUUUCCACUAUUCUUCUAAAUUAUGGACCCAUUUGUUUGGGCAGGCAUAUGCUAGUAACGAUUAGCCCAUUGCUAUCAUGGUUGCUAUGGUAUAAUGCAGAUCUUUUAUGAUUUUAGUGACAUUUCAGAAGUUCAUUCAAAUGCUAGCUCCACAAACCCUACAGGUAAAGCUGUAGGUUGGAUUGGGGCAGGUCUUUGAUGCAUCUGUUGCAUACAACAUGAGAUAUUUUAUUAUCACAGACACACACUAGAAAUUAGCUUCAAAGUUAAUUUUUUUUCUUUUUUCAUUCUAGUUUGCAAAAAGUUGUCUGAUAUACUCACCAAUACGACAGUAACAGUGUUUGAAGCUAGAAGCCAUGCCUUGGACCCGUUUUUUUUUUGUACUAUUCUCAUCCAAGAAAAUGGCCUUAGUGUUUCAUUUGGCCUGUGGAGGAGAAAACCUUUAUCAUUUUCUUUUCCUCAAAACGAAAUGACAUCAUGUUGGAGGAUAUAAAAAGUUGACACAUGUAUUGGUUCUUGCACAAAAAGAUAGGCAGAAGUUUUUUGGAGAGCAUUAGAUUUGAAUUAAUGUAUUAGUUUAUUUCUUUUCCUGGUUAAAAAUGGUUCUUGCAGGUAGUUGUCAAGGAUUUUGUUUCUCGAGCUGUUAUAUCACAAUUUAAAGCUCAUACCAGUCCCAUAGCUGCACUGUGUUUUGACCCUAGUGGGACCUUGCUUGUUACUGCUUCAAUUUAUGGAAAUAACAUAAAUAUUUUCCGUAUUAUGCCAUCCUGUUCACGGACUGGAUCAGGUGCUCAAAGCUAUGAGUGGAACUCUUCUCAUGUGCAUCUUUACAAGCUACAUCGUGGAAUAACUUCAGCUAUGAUCCAGGAUAUAUGCUUUAGUCACUAUAGUCAGUGGAUUGCAAUUGUUUCAUCCAAAGGAACCUGUCAUGUCUUCACUUUAUCUCCAUUUGGCGGUGAUUCUGGAUUUCAAUCUCUUAAUUCUACGGGUGAGGACCCUUCCCUAUAUCCAGUGUUGUCUCCACCUUGGUGGUCCACAUCAUCUUGCAUGAUCAAUCAGCAUUCUUCUCCACUGCCCCUACCCGUCACACUUUCUGUGGUGAGCAGAAUAAAAUAUAGUAGUUUUGGGUGGCUUAAUACUGUUGGCAGUGCCAAUGGCUCUGUAGCAGGAAAGGUUUUUGUACCAUCUGGUGCAGUUGCUGCUGUUUUUCAUAAUUCUAAAUCUCAAAGCGUUCAGCAUGUUAACUCAAGGGCCAAUUCCUUGGAGCAUUUGUUAGUUUUUACUCCAUCAGGUCAUGUAGUUCAGCACGAGCUUCUUCCAUCUAUUGGGCUAGGUCCAGGUGAAAGUGGUUCAAGAACCCAGCUAGUUUCAUUUGUACAAAUACAAGACGAUGACUUGAAGGUCAAAGUUGAACCAGUUCAAUGGUGGGAUGUAUGUAGAAGAUCAGAUUGGUCAGAAAGAGAGGAAUGCAUUUUUGGGAGUACAGGUGGAAAAGACGCUGUUGAAAUAAUUCAAAGAACAUCAGGAUCUGGGGAUAAUUUUAACAUGGAAUUUCUAGACAUCAAUGAUGAUUCCAGUGAAAAGAAAUCAGAAAAAACAUGUUCUGUAAAAUCUCAUGAGAGAUCCCACUGGUACCUUUCUAAUGCAGAGGUGCAUUUAAGCUCUUUGAGGUUGCCAAUAUGGCAAAAAUCUAAGGUAAAAACUGAAGUUAUGAUGCCUAUGUAUUGGUUCUAUAUCUUGGUUGUGAUUUAUUUUCUUCACCAUCUUAGAUUUGCUUCUAUGUGAUGGAUUCUCCAAGAGUUAAUAGUUAUGGUGAUGGAGAGUUUGAAAUUGAAAAUCUUCCCAUCCAUGAAGUUGAAUUAAAGCGAAAGGAAUUAUUGCCAGUUUUUGAUCAUUUUCACAGCAUCAAAUCAGUGUGGAAUGAUAGGUAAUGACCAUUUUUAUCUGUAGUUACUUGGUUCUUUUAUCUGUAUAUUUAAUAAGAAGCUGAGUAGUUCUUGUCACGACUUCUUGAUGUUAAUAUAUUGAAAAAAGUUUCAGCUGAGGUUGAUUGGGAGAUCGUCUUAGUGAUGGAUGAUGACUGAUGUUUGAGUAAAAUUAGGCUCAGUUUGUACUUUGGAACUCUCAUAUACUGCUUCAAUUCCCCUAGGGCAGGUUGGAGAUGGGGUCUUGUGGUAAGCUGUAUUAAAAUAUUAGACGUCCUGGUGGAUUGCAAUAGUGUUCUUUAUUCCUUGUUGCAAAAUGAUGAGAUUGACACUAGUUUUAAUUGGUAUUCUGUACUUCUAAAUAAAAUUUGGUGGCUAUCCGCUAUAGUGUAUUUUUUCUUUUGUAAUAAGCAUGAAACUCCUCUAUUCAUACUACUUUGUUUAGAGGCCCUGCCAAGGGUAUAUGUCCUCAUUCUUUGUCCUUUCCAGUGUACGGUGCAUAAUUUUGUACUUUGAAUUGCUUGCUUUGUUCCAUUGUUUAGAGGCCUCGCCACAGCAAGAUAUAACCUUUCACCAUCAGCAGAACCACUUCAAGUUGAGGGCAAGAUCACACAGGAGACUGUUAUUUGUCACUCGAUGCCAGCAUCACUUAGCUCAACUGAAAGUUCAGAAUGUGGUAAGUUGUUGUAUGUAUAUGUCAAUUCCAUCCAUCUGCAUGACAUCUGGUAGAGAAUCUCUUUAUUUGAUACUUGGAAUGUAUGGAGUUUGGUUGCUGUGAGAGAAUCUCUUCAUCAUUGUGCCCCUUUCUUACCUAGUGCUUGGCUGAUAUACUAAUGCAUUAAAAAGAAUGAAUUAAAAUUUCAUUUAACACCCCAAUUUUAGUUAUUUAAGUGACAAUUGAAGCCUGCUACUUAAUAGUUACCUGUAUGAAUGUCUCUUAUAUUGGUAUUGUUAUUUGUGAAACUCUAUAACUUUGAAUCAUUUUCAUUUUUUAAUCAGGUUCAUCAAGAAGAAUUGAGCAUCUGCUAGAUUUGGAUCCAAUAAAUUGUGAGAAAUCUUACAUUCCCACUUGUCAGAAUCUGAAUGACUGCAACCAGGAAAGAAAAGGUGGUAUUAUUAUCAAGUCUGGCACACAGAAUAAGAAUUCCUUAGCCAUUGUAUCUCUUCCACCUGAACUCCCAAAAAAUGUAGAUGCUCACGUUAUCAAUUGUGUUGAAAAUGGUUUGUCUUUGUCAGAAAAUUACUUGCCUCCUGCAGGAAGAAUAUCUGUUGGAGAAGCUCCAAUUUUGAACAUGAAUGGGAAUGGUGAUCUUUCAGUAUUAAAUUCUGAUGGUUAUGAUUCACAUAUGAAUAUCCUUGUGGGAGGGUCCACUAUCCCAACAGGGAAGCCAUUAGAUUUUGAGCUGUCUUUUCAGGAGGGGCAAUAUAAGGCAUUGGACCUUGAUGAAUGCCACAGGUCAACUGAAGUCAUAGCUGAUGAUGUCGACAGCAGCAGUAGCCACUGAGAAGGACAAGCCUGAAGAGGAUGGCGAUAAUGAUGAAUUUCUUGGUGGCAUGUUUGCAUUUUCUGAAGAAGGUUGAUCUCAACUCCUGUACUAAGUGAAAGUUCCAAGUGGUGACUUUUGCGUGUCGCUACAACUAAAGCUUGGUGUUAUUUCAUUGAAGACGUUACCUAUUGACGAUGAAAGUAAAGUGAUGGUGUGAAUAAGAGGGGUGGCAAUUCAAACUACGAUAUUUGCCGUUGUAUUUAAUCUUCUCUCUCACUCUGUGGUGUACAUUCUGUAAAUGAAAAUUAUUAAAUUCGUGGAGGGUGCUAACAGGUGAAGUAUAAACGUAGGACUAGAUGUGGAUUUGCUUUCCGUAUCUUCUGUUAAUCCUCUGUACAGAUGUGUGAACAAAGUUCUCUGCAAGCUGUACAACUGUAUAUAGUUUUUUAAUUUAUUAUCAUUAUUAUGCCAAAAAGAAAAGGAAUGCAAUGGAAAAGACGAAUUCAUGUGUUGGCCAUAAAUGUAUAAGCU